rnacentral:lncRNA from 11 species
AUGCCUAUUUCCUCCCCAAACUUUGUCCAACUUUGUAUAAUAUCAUUGGAGAGAAGAGACCAGCAAUGGGAACAGGAAGGCUGCCUGUUUCAAACUGUUACAAAGACCACAGACCCAGAAAUGAUAAAGCUUUCUGUAACAAUAAAAGUUUUGAAGAAAGGAAUUAUGCCAAAACUAAAGGGAAAAUCAAAAGCCAGUUCAGAUAUCUAUGUUCUUGAAAAGUUCCUGAGGACGUAUGAAAAGCAUUGCACGAUGUCCCAAACUUGUGUCAGCCCAACUAUCAAACAAAGCCUUCGGCAAUGUAUAGCAAAUGAUACAUUAAUCACUAAGGUAAUUCUAUGAAUUUAAAACAAUUGUUUCACAAGUGACAGGCGGCAGAAAGAUUGGUAGAAAAAUUACAUCCAACUGCUAAUGAUUCUAAAUGCAUUUCUCUAGGAGGUGUAAUGGAUCUAUUUUUUAAAAACGUAAAUCAUGCUGUAGGAUUCCCCACUUCCAUAUUCGCCAAAAAGCACAUAUUGCACAUUCCUCUUCGUGAUGGCCCCUUUGUUAUGCCCAAGGAUCAUAAGCUAGUUUUAUAUUUGAGGUUAUUCUGCUGGCAAACAAAGACAGUUGUAUUAUAACAAACUGCUUUAUUUUCUAUAGUGAUGUAGGUUUUUAAGUGAUGAAUAGAGUUUUUUUCUUAAUUUUAUUAAUCAGUUUUAAGUGAUUUUUAGUGUUUUUAUUUGAAUUUAGAAUUUAAUCUUAGAUUAUAUUGCUUUUAGCCAUCUUGAGCACUAUUUGUAGUGGAAAGUUAGAAUAUAUACAAUACUACUACCGACAUAAAUAUAAAAGCAAUAUCAAGAA